rnacentral:rRNA from 1 species
GAUGAACGCUAGCGGCAGGCUUAACACAUGCAAGUCGAGGGGUAUAGGUUUUCGGACCUAGAGACCGGCGCACGGGUGCGUAACGCGUAUGCAACCUACCCUUUACAGAGGGAUAGCCCAGAGAAAUUUGGAUUAAUACCUCAUGGUAUAACACCACCGCAUGAUGGUGUUAUUAAAGUCACAACGGUAAAAGAUGGGCAUGCGUCCCAUUAGCUAGAUGGUAAGGUAACGGCUUACCAUGGCUACGAUGGGUAGGGGUCCUGAGAGGGAGAUCCCACACACUGGUAUUGAGACACGGACCAGACUCCGACGGGAGGCAGCAGUGAGGAAUAUUGGUCAAUGGACGCAAGUCUGAACCAGCCAUGCCGCGUGCAGGAUGACGGUCCUAUGGAUUGUAAACUGCUUUUGUACGAGAAGAAACAACAUUACGUGUAAUGUCUUGACGGUAUCGUAAGAAUAAGGAUCGGCUAACUCCGUGCCAGCCGCCGCAGUAAUAC